rnacentral:misc_RNA from 1 species
GAUGAAGAACGCAGCGAAAUGCGAUAAGUAAUGUGAAUUGCAGAAUUCAGUGAAUCAUCGAAUCUUUGAACGCACCUUGCGCCUUUUGGUAUUCCGAAAGGCACACCUGUUUGAGCGUCAUCAAUACCUCAAUCUCCAUCUUUUCUUCGGAUUGAUGGGUGACUUGGAUGUUGAGCCCUGCUGGUAUGCUAUAUCAGCUGGCUUUAAACUUAUUAGCCGGCUCUGUACUGGAUCGGUUUGACUCGACGUGAUAAUAUUAUCGUUGAGGAUGCAUGUCUCAUGCAGCCGGAAAGUAUCAAAGCAGCUUCUAGCUUGCCUUUAGUGCACUUUUACAUUUUAGACCUCAGAUCAGGUGGGACUACCCGCUGAACUUAAGCAUAUCAAUAAGCGGAGGA